CUCUUGCGUGAGUGAUGGAAGUGGAGCUCUCCCGAUUUUUCAUCGGGAAGCGGGAACGGACAGCACGACCCAGA
rnacentral:misc_RNA from 1 species